UACGUAGGGUGCAAGCGUUAUCCGGAAUUAUUGGGCGUAAAGAGCUCGUAGGCGGUUUGUCGCGUCUGCUGUGAAAACCGGAGGCUCAACCUCCGGCCUGCAGUGGGUACGGGCAGACUAGAGUGCGGUAGGGGAGAUUGGAAUUCCUGGUGUAGCGGUGAAAUGCGCAGAUAUCGGGAGGAACACCGGUGGCGAAGGCGGCUCACUGGUCCGGUUCUGACGCUGAGGCGCGAAAGCGUGGGGAGCAAACAGG
rnacentral:rRNA from 1 species